ACUGAUGUGGACAAAAUACGGAUCUUAACAGAAAACCGUAAUAAAGUAGCUGUAUAUCGUUGAGUAAACAAGGUAAACGGUAAUAUUUACAUUGGUAGUUCUACUAAUUUACAUGUUAGAAUGUAUACAUAUUUUAGUUUACGUUCUCUAGCAAAAAGUAAUAGACCUAUUGAUAGAGCUCUUUUAAAACACGGGUAAGAAAAAAAAGUAAAAAAAAUUCUCCUACCCCUGCUACCCCCAACUACGGAGUCGUUGGAGGGUCCGGGAAUUUUUUUUAUUUUUUUUCUUGCUAACUUUAGAUUAGAAAUCUUGGAGUAUUGUUCCUAUGAAGAUGUACUUAAAAGAGAGCAAUAUUACUUAGAUCUUUGUAAACCUCAUUAUAAUAUAGCUACUAUCGCAGGCUCUACUUUAGGAUAUAAACAUUCUCAAGAAUCACUAGAAAAAAUGAGAAACAUUAUUCUAAGUGAUGAAGUAAGAGAAAGAAAAGCUCUUUCUACUGUUAAUGCUUCAAUAGCUAAUAGAUUGCCUAUUAGUGUUAAAAAUAUAAUAACUAAUGAUGUAACAAGUUAUGCUAGCAUGACUGAGGCAGGUAAAGCAUUAGGUGUAACAAGAGCUACAGUAAGUCAAGCAUUGUUGCAUAAUAGACUAAUUAAAAAAACGUAUUCUAUCUGUAAAAUUAAAUAAAAACUUCAAAAAAUAAAAUUAUAUUAUCUGUUAAAUGGAUAGUAAUAAAAUGCUAUUUAGGGAGAAAAGUCUCAGCUCGGCCUAAGUUGGAAUAAAUAAAAUUCCACGGCCAAAGAGAUAAUUUGUAUCGUUGUAAAGAUAUCCAAAGAACUGUGGUAAGUUAGUGAAAGACAAUCCUGACUACUAUAGCUGGUUUUCCGCGAAACAUAUGUAAGUAUGUAGUUUAAAUAACAUCAUAGCAGGUACAGAACUGUAAUCUCGGACAAUUUGUGCAUUAAUAUCCUAUUAGGGUAUAUAAUGCCUUGUGCAUAUGGGGGGGUCGUGAAGACUCUAUUCGCGAGUAUUUGCUCUCGGAAGGGCAAUGAUGAGUGUUGAACUAUCAGACAUUUAACGAUAAGGUUGUGUGUCAAAAGGGAAACAGCCCAGAACAAGUGUUUAAGGUUCCAAAGUUUUUGUUAAGUGAAAGUAAGGAAGUAUUUAAACUAUACAACCAGGAAAUAGGCUUAGAAGCGGCCAUUUUUUAAAGACCUCGUAACAGAGCACUGGUUCAAAUGGUUAAUUCGUUAACCUAAUUAGUUAAAAGCGCCGAAGAUAUAACGGAUCUAAAACAAAACACCGACACCUUGUCCAUAAUAAUAAUAUUAGGUUAAAUCCUAGUUUACUAUACUUAAAGGUUAUUUAAGUAUUAUUUAUGGGGUAGCGGAACAUUGGGUAAAUAGGUUUUAAAUAGAUAGCACUCCCUACCCUUAGCUUAAUUGAAUUUGGGGAGAGGUCUUUUAUUAAUGUAUAAUAACUGACUAUAGAGGGUUACGUCUAUUUCAUAAUUACAUUUGUAAUUUGCUCGCUAUAUAGCGGGUUACCAUACAUAUCCCAAGUGAGAAUGCUGACACGAGUAACGAAAAAGAGGGAGAAAUUGGGCAAACCCAAUUGAACAGGAUAGAUUGAAGUACGUAGAUAAACUAAAUAGAUGAUACGACCCAACCUGUUGUAAGGUCCUCUCGCCUUAAGCUUAUGGGAAAGUUAAUCGGUCUCUAAAUUUAACCUAAAGGAUAAAAUGAUGAGGAAAAGUAUAUGUGACAACAUAAAAUGGAGUAAAAUGUUCUGGAAAAGCAUAUACUAAGCAAGGAAGGAGAAAUGGUUCUAGGUUAUAAACUAAAAAGAAGAUACUAGGCAUUUCUUUCUAUAGGGAAUAAACUAGAACAGAUGAUACUAGUUUCCUUGUUUAUACUAAAACCGUACCUAAAAACUACCACAAGUAAGCUAGUAGAGAAUACGAAGGCGUUUGAGCUAACAAUCAUUAAGGAACUCGGCAAAUUGACACCGUAACUGCGGGAGAAGGUGUGCCAUUCCUACUGAUUAAUAUCAGUUUAGGAAGAGGAGACAUAAAAUGGUGUUGCACGACUGUUUAAUUAAAACACAGCACUUUGCGUAAGAUGUAAAUCAAUGUAUAGAGUGCGCUAUCUGCCCAAUGAUGGCUGGUUAACGGAUUUACUUAGACGACUAAAAUAGCCUAGGUUUUGAAGGAACCCCCAUUUAAUGGCGGCCUUACCUAUAAGGGUCCUAAGGUAGCGAAAUACCUUGGCAUUUAAAUGAUGUCGCGCAUGAAUGAUCUCACGAUGCAACAGCUGUCUCAAUGAUUGGCUCAGUGAAACUGGAAUGGCAGUGAAGAUACUGCCUAUCUCUAGAUAGACGAGAAGACCCCAUGCAGCUUUACUGUUACUAGUUAUAGGGUAUAAUUUAACAGGUUUUAGGGAAUAAGGUAGUUGAACGACAAAAUUGAAACACCUUUACUCUGGUUGUUAUAUCAGUAGAAUAGGUUACAUUAUUGUAACUGACGUCUGAAUGUAAUCCAUAAAAGGAGGGAGAUUAUAUCAAGCUCAGGAGACAAUGGCUAGCAGAUGGUUUAUGCGGGGCACAGAUCCCAUAAAGAGUACCUGGGAGUAUCCAAAUUUAUUUUUGUAAUAUGCUAUACGCAAAUUAUAUGGGGCUUUUAUUAAAUAAUUGCCUUGUAUAUUUUAAUUUUUUAAUUACUAUAUUUAGUUUGUUAUUUUUUAUAUUUACUUUUAUAAAGUAUCUAUAACUAAUUCAGUUAUAUUUCUAUUUAAGUUAGAACUAAAACAAUUUAAUAUAAGUAAGAUUUUACCUAUGUGGAAAAUAGGUGUAUAUAUAGUAUUAAUAAUUAAUAUCUAAUGGUAAAAUAACAAUAUAGAGUAAAAGAAGAUAUAAUUAUAACACUAUUAGUUAUUUUUUUUUACAGAAUACCUGUAUAAGAGAAAUGAUGUUGAUAUAUACUUCAAAAGUUUAAUGGCUUAAUCUUGCUUUACUGUUUGACAUACACGUCUAUCAGUUGCGUAAGCAGGGCAUAAAGACCGCAAGACGCAGUAAGGAAAGGUCUUGUAUUAUUGAAAAAGCUACGCUGGGGAUAACAGGCUAAUUGCGCCAGAGAGUACAAAUUGAGUGCGCAGUUUGG
rnacentral:rRNA from 2 species